GGAUAUGUGGGCAAGCUGGCUGCAACAUCUGCCAUUCCACUGAUUACCAGGGUUGAUUGGCUGAUGUGACUGGCUAGAUGGGUUUUCUCUUCAUCCAUCAGUACUUCAUGUGAGUUUCUCCUGAAGCUGCACAUUCAGAUUGGAGUUUAUCGAUCUUUGAUCAAGGAUAUACAAUAGCUAUGCCCUUCUGGUAGAACCUUCAAAUAAGCUCAAGCAAAGUGGCUGUUCUUUGUCUCUUUGUUUCCAACUUAGAAACUUUUUCUAUUUCU
rfam:Ophiophagus hannah scaffold6165.1, whole genome shotgun sequence.